rnacentral:lncRNA from 1 species
CAGUGUACACGUGACGUCUAGUUGCACCCUGAUUGGCUGGACUGAGCAAGUGGCGCUCCUGCAAACGCCCUCUCCUUGAGGGCGGUUAAAGGCAUCUCAAACGCCUGUGGUGGCGCCGCACAGUGACUACUGUUCUGGUCACACCGCACAGAGGCUGAAGCGGCGGAACAGGCCUGUGACCUGAGGGAGUCAAGACCGAAGAGGCCUUGUGCUACUUCUGUGUGGUGAGGCGGCGUCCGGGCCGGUGGUGACAGCAACAUGAUGAGGCUUCUGAGGCGGGCUUUGACUUUCUUCCGGAGGAGGCGGGUGAACCCCCAAGAAGAGCUCAAGUCUCCCAAUGAUCAGAUGGAGGUUGUCGAUGAUCAUGUUGCUGACUCCGGACCAUCGGAACCUGAAAUCAAAGUUCUACUUGGUUGUGUCACCUCUGUAAGGGACGGUAUUGCCUGCAUUAAUAAAGAAGUUUCCUUCCGCAGAGAUACUUUUUGUGAAGGUAUGAUUGCGUUUUGAAAAAGGUGUAGUAGAAGUGGUAAUGUUAUUACGUACUUGG